rnacentral:rRNA from 1 species
UACGGAGGGAGCUAGCGUUGUUCGGAAUUACUGGGCGUAAAGCGCACGUAGGCGGCUUUGUAAGUUAGAGGUGAAAGCCCGGGGCUCAACUCCGGAACUGCCUUUAAGACUGCAUCGCUUGAAUCCAGGAGAGGUGAGUGGAAUUCCGAGUGUAGAGGUGAAAUUCGUAGAUAUUCGGAAGAACACCAGUGGCGAAGGCGGCUCACUGGACUGGUAUUGACGCUGAGGAGCGAAAGCGUGGGGAGCGAACAGG